rnacentral:rRNA from 1 species
GACGAACGCUGGCGGCGUGCUUAACACAUGCAAGUGGUGCGACGAACCAGGGCUUGCCCUGGGGCUAAGCCGCGAACGGGUGAGUAACACGUGAGUAAUCUGCCCCGAUGACCGGGACAACCCGAGGAAACUCGGGCUAAUACCGGAUGUGGUGCACAGGCGUAAGCCCGUGUACUAAAGGAAGCUUCGGCCUCCGCAUUGGGAGGAGCUCGCGGCCCAUUAGCUUGUUGGUGGGGUAACGGCCUACCAAGGCAACGAUGGGUAGCUGGUCUGCGAGGACGAUCAGCCACGCUGGGACUGAGACACGGCCCAGACUCCUACGGGAGGCAGCAGUGGGGAAUCUUGCGCAAUGCGCGAAAGCGUGACGCAGCAACGCCGCGUGGGGGAAGACGGCCUUCGGGUUGUAAACCCCUUUCAGGAGGGACGAAGGUUCACCGGUGAAUAGCCGUGUGGAUUGACGGUACCUCCACAAGAAGCUCCGGCUAACUACGUGCCAGCCGCCGCCGUAAGAC